CACAUGCAAGUCGAACGCUAUUACAAUACUGAGUGGCAGACGGGUGAGUAACAUGUGGGAAUCUGCCUUGUGGUUCAGGACAACAUUGGGAAACCGAUGCUAAUACUGGAUAAGCCCUUACGGGGAAAGUUUUAAUGCCAUAAGAUGAGCCCGCACUUGAUUAGUUAGUUGGUGAGGUAAUGGCUCACCAAGACAAUGAUCAAUAGCUGAUCUGAGAGGAUGAUCAGCCACACUGGGACUGAGACACGGCCCANACUCCUACGGGAGGCAGCAGUGGGGAAUCUUGCACAAUGGAGGAAACUCUGAUGCAGCGAUGCCGCGUGAGUGAAGAAGGCCUUUGGGUUGUAAAGCUCUUUUGUAGGGGAAGAUAAUGACUGUACCCUAAGAAUAAGGUCCGGCUAACUUCNUGCCAGCAGCCGCGGUAAUA
rnacentral:rRNA from 1 species